rnacentral:sRNA from 1 species
AAUUGUCGUUGAUCCAAGGUAACAUGUAUGUGGCUUGUUUCAGUAUGCCAAUAACUGGGCUUUUGAGCAGGGGUCAACAUCACCGGAAAUAUAAAAUAGCGUUGAAGAGCAUUGGCCAGCUACGCCAGUGCGGAUUAUAUUGCAAGUGUCCGCAGCAAUGUGGGAGGCUCAUUCUCACCCGAUGACAGAUGUAGAGGAGAAAUAGCAAAAGCCUCUCAUCGAAUUCACACAUAUCCUUUGUAGCCCUUUUCCUAAAAAUGUACCGAUUGCUUGUGAGUUUGCAGAACACUCAGCGGCAGGUACUUGUUGCCCUCACUGAGCUAUGGAGCUCGCCUGCUUUGUAGGGUUGGGAUUGUCAACCUCAGUCACUCCCUGCAACCUUCCAAAAUACAGGGG